GAGAAUGCAGGCAUGAGUAGCGAAUCACGGGUGAGAAACCCGUGCGCCGAAUGAUCAAGGGUUCCAGGGUCAAGCUAAUCUGCCCUGGGUAAGUCGGGACCUAAGGCGAGGCCGACAGGCGUAGUCGAUGGAUAACCAGUUGAUAUUCUGGUACCCGUACAUGCGCGCCCAUGAUGAAGCACUGAUACUAACCACCGCGGAUGCACUACCGGUACUCUUUGAGUGUUGGUGGUGUUGAUGUCGUGGGGCCUGAUGUGUGGUUC
rnacentral:rRNA from 1 species